AUUCUACUCCCUCCGUUGCACAAUACAUGCCUUCUAUUUGUCAAAAUAUAUAUGUAUCUAGACAUGUUUUAGUAUAUAGGUANACAUGCCUUCUAUUUGUCAAAAUAUAUAUGUAUCUAGACAUGUUUUAGUAUAUAGGUACAUCCAUUUUUGGACAAAUGGAAGUCAAGUAUUUUGGAACGGAGGGAGUACACA
rfam:Triticum aestivum genome assembly, contig: Triticum_aestivum_CS42_TGACv1_scaffold_641548_T_4BL-0.096046_6BS-0.079634